rnacentral:lncRNA from 1 species
GGUGGUGAAGAAAUUGGACUAACCGCUUAUGCAUGCCAGGUCUCCACACGAACUUGAUUGUCUCAAGAAUUUGCUGGAGACCCGAGGAAAUGCUUGAAAGGAGGCAACUUAACCAUGAUGAAUUGAUUAUCAUUUCAAACGACCUCAUAUUAUCUUAACUCUACACUUUUUGAUGAAAUUGAAGUGUGAUGAAUUUGAUAUCAUAUUCUUCACUCUGAAGCAUAUGAGAUGGUAAGUUGUACUAAUUCAUCUGCAGGAUCCCAAUCCUCAAACCACUGAGUGGGUUCUUGACAGUGGAUUUACUAAUCACAUGACUGGUGAC